rnacentral:rRNA from 1 species
UACGUAGGUGGCAAGCGUUGUCCGGAUUUACUGGGCGUAAAGAGCGCGCAGGCGGUCGUGCAAGUCGCGUGUGAAAGCCCCCGGCUCAGCUGGGGAGGGUCACGCGAUACUGAUCGACUCGAAGGCAGGAGAGGGUAGUGGAAUUCCCGGUGUAGUGGUGAAAUGCGUAGAUAUCGGGAGGAACACCAGUGGCGAAGGCGACUACCUGGCCUGUUCUUGACGCUGAGGCGCGAAAGCUAGGGGAGCAAACGGG